GAUUGUGACGAAUGGGCGGUUCGCUGCCGAUGACGUCGCGAGAAGUCUACUGAACCUUAUCAUUUAAAGAAAAGAAAAGUCGUAAUAAGGUUUCCGUAGGUGAACCUACGGAAGGAUCAUUCUCGAU
rnacentral:rRNA from 1 species